UUGUUCUGAAUUUUGUAGAUCCGAUCAUAAAAUUGAAGGUAUGUUGUUUUAGUUUGUUGUUUAUCUACCGUGCAUCUUUAAUCUAAGCGAUUGAACAUUUAUAUUUUUUUUGCAAACAAUAUCAAGAUCAGAGGUUUUGUUAUCAUCAUCUACAUUCUCUGAUUUAUGUAGUGUCUAUGAACGUUAAUCAUGUCUUGGACAUUUAUCAAACUUACUGAUUUUUGUUUAUUUUGAUUUUCAUGUGAAUCCUUAAAUCUUGGAUAACAAUCGGACUCCGAUCAUUCAACAAGCAACAGAGUUCGUCGACCAAAACAGUUAUGGAUCCUAAAAACAAUGCUCCAAUCGUUUUUAAAGUUGAUUGAUGACUAUCAUCCUAUAUUUUUGGAAAUACCGUAUGAUGAGCCAGCUUAUUAUGGGAAGGAAAAGUUCCAUAUGCUCAAUGUAUUGAACUUAUUGAUGAUGACUUAUGCAACUGCAGGAGUCUGAAUCUUCUUCGAACACAAGAGUUAUGGAUCCUAAAAACAACGCUCCAAUCGUUUUUAAAGUUGAUUGAUGACUAUCAUCCUAUAUUUUUGGAAAUACCGUAUAAUGAGCGACCUUAUUGUGGGAAAGAAAAGUUCCAUAUGGCCAAUGUCUUGAAAUUAUUGAUGAUGACUUAUGCAACUGCAGGAGUCUGAAUCUUCUUCGAACACAAGACUUAGCAAGUUAGCAAGCGAAGGCAACUUUCCGAGUGAGCUGAAGGCAUUGAUAAACAAGAGGUUUGCGUUUAAGAUAGCCAUAGCUUCGUUUAAUAUAAAAUAGAAAUCAGAUGGCUACUCUGUUUCCAAGUUGACUGAAAAUCCUUCCAUCAUCAAAGAUCUUGAUACUCAUUUUGAUGUUUACCAGGCUGCUGAUGAAGAACCUUUAGAUCCUGUUGCUUCUGAUCCAAAUCCAAUUGUUAACGUUAACAUCCGGGUUUGUUAAGCAACUUCUUUAUAUCAGUAAACCUUUAUUAUUGUUUUGUAUUCAACUUUUUUCUCACACUAACCUUUACUUAUUACUCUUUAUUAAUGUUGUAAUUUUUAAAUUAGUUUCAGAGGAUACUGGUUCUGUAGGCUAAUGAAUGUAGCGGACGAAGUUAUUUUGUCUAUUCCGGACGACGCUGCGUGCAAAAUAUGGGGUGUAGACCAAGGCCCUACAAAUGUCAUGAUACACACUGAAGAUGAGUUUAUUAAAAGCUGGCCUAUCAAUUAAUAGAAUAUACAUGUGAAUACUAUGAAAAUACGCACAUCUUAUUUGUUAACUUGCUUUUUUAUACUUUUUGUGAACAUAUCUUUCACUGGGAGCUUAGUUACCUUGUGAUGUUAUUUAGAAUUGUCUUUUAACUUGCAGAUCUAUAGUGAUGGCCGCAACAAGAUAUUAUAGAUGGCUCUGAGAAAGAGUAACUGUUGUUUGU